rnacentral:rRNA from 1 species
CCUACGGGAGGCAGCAGUGAGGAAUAUUGGUCAAUGGGCGCGAGUCUGAACCAGCCAAGCCGCGUGAAGGAUGACUGCCCUACGGGUUGUAAACUUCUUUUAUAAAGGAAUAAAGUGAGGCACGCGUGCCUGUCUGGAUGUAUUUUAUGAAUAAGGAUCGGCUAACUCCGUGCCAGCAGCCGCGGUAAUACGGAGGAUCCGAGCGUUAUCCGGAUUUAUUGGGUUUAAAGGGAGCGUAGAUGGGUUGUUAAGUCAGUUGUGAAAGUUUGAGGCUCAACCGUGGAAUUGCAUUUGAUACUGGCAGGCUUGAGUACAGUUGAGGUAGGCGGAAUUCGUGGUGUAGCGGUGAAAUGCUUAGAUAUCACGAAGAACACCGAUUGCGAAGGCAGCCUACUAAACUGCAACUGACGUUGAUGCUCGAAAGUGUGGGUAUCAAACAGGAUUAGAUACCCCGGUAGUC